ACAGAAGCAUCGACCCAUUUCUCCAGCUCGAGACCCGCGACGGUGACCCAACUGGAACUCCCGCGUCCGGCAACCACACGACGGCGGACCGGUCUUGUUCGACGCGUCUUGUCGUCGUGGUUCUGUCUAUAGUCAUGGAUCAUCCAUGCAUGGAGCGAGGAGAGAGACAGAGAGACAGAGAGUCGAAGCCCAAAAGCUCGAGUUUUUGGGCGAAGUUUCUGCAAUUUCCGGCGAUCAUCGGGGAUGCAUGAGCGGACCCGCAGUUCUGGGCUCAUAUCCGACAUCUUGGAGCAUCGUCUGAGGUCCGGGGAAGCUCAGCUCAUUGGGUUGGUUGCUUUGUUCUGUGUUGUGAAGUGAAGGCAGUAGACUCAAGGAUCAAUCCUCAAUCCUAUAAGUAAAGAUUCCAGUUACCCGAGGAACGGAAGGUUCGUGAAUUCCGGACAACGCAAAACGGUAAAGCUUUGUAAUCCAGGUAGGGGACUUGGGACUCAUUCGGUUAGUUGUUUUCUGUUUUGAAUUAAAUGUUUAUACAUGUUGAGCUGCAUGGUUUGGUUAUUGAUGGCUUGAGAGUGAGUAGAACAUAGCGAUUCCUUGGAUUUCGAUCCCUUAAACCUCCGGAGGGGCCAUAUGGACGGAAUGGUGUCUGACAUCCUCUGAGGUGUGGCACUAUUUCUAGGUGAUAUGGCGUAAGUGGGCACUCUCACUACGCGUACGUACCUGGUGAUGAUUUUAUUUGAGGUAAGGCUGUGUAGUUGGUCCAUGGGACCAGCCAUCAGGUAUUAUGCAUUUCUUUGAGUUUCGUGCACUGGAUUUUGAGUCCGAAAGAUAUUUGAAGUUUGUUGUUCUUUAAAGAAAAGAUUUCACUUUUUCAUACUGGGAUCCCAAAUUAUUACCUUAUGUGUCGGUUUUCAAACGUAGUCGGGUGAAGCCCCUAUUGAGCAGCGAGGACGAAAGCUCACUCAUACAACAGUGUGGUUACAGGUACUGUGCACUGGAAACAGGAUUAGAGCGGACGGAGCUGGGUGUGCAGAUUUCCAUAGAAGUCAAGUUCUAGGUUCCAAUCUCAUUCCUGUUCCUUAAAAUUGUAUUUUCGGAACUUGUCACAAUUUGUUUGUUAUAUGCUAAGUCCUUUAUCCCUUGGUUGUUUGCAACGUUAAGUCCUGGACGAAUAUUUGAAUUUAAAGUUUAGAAAGGUUUUCACCUCAAAAGAAUUUAAAAGCUUUCGUUGCGAAUUUUUGUCAAAAUUUAU